rfam:Paracoccidioides brasiliensis Pb18 unplaced genomic scaffold supercont2.5, whole genome shotgun sequence.
GCCCUCGUAGCCCAAUGGUAGGGCGUCAGACUUCUAAUCUGAAGGUUGCGGGUUCGAGUCCCGCCGGGGGUA